rnacentral:misc_RNA from 1 species
GAAUUGCGAAAAUUGUCGCGACUUGCAUCAUCGUGAAUCGUCGAGUUUUUGAACGCACAUUGCACCCUUAAUAAGGGUAUGCCUGUUUGAGCAUCAUUUAUAAACCACCUCAACCUGCUUUUUUGUAAUGAAGGAGUAGGCUUUCUGAGGGAUUGUUUGGGCGUUCCAGGGUACACGCAUUGGCUUUAGGUAGUCAGUGGCUGGUCGCUUUAAAGGAGUCUGCGAGAGCAGCUAAAAUGCUACUCCCUUAAGCAAGGUCAAAUGGGUCUAAAUUGCUGACACUUUGCCUUGUGUACUUUUUGCUACUCCUCGCGAGUGCAAGAAGGGGGGAUGUGGUACUCCAAAAGGGUAAAAUUCUCAUCUUUAUUGUGAUCUCAAAUCAGGUAGGGCUACCCGCUGA